rnacentral:lncRNA from 1 species
AGGGAACUUGAUCCACAAAGGAAUUUCUGAAGGAAAGGCUGCCUUGAAGUCAAAAUCAACAAACCACUGCUUCAAAAUCAUAGGUCUGUUGGCAAUAGUAUAAGGCCCUCCACAUAGAAUUUCUUUGGCAUCCUCUAGUGAACUAAAUUUAACAAUAUAAUAGCCCUCAUCAUGAUAAAAUAGCUCAGGCUCAGGAACAUGAGACCAGUGAAGAUUAAUAAAUCUUUUCAUGCCAUUAUACCCAGGGCUAUUACCUAGCACAAAUACCACAAGGGCACAUUUCCAUUUCACUUGUUCCUCCUCCACUUCUUCCUUCACCAGCUGACCAACUGGUUUGUCAUUAACAAGUGU